CCCUAGUAACGGCGAGUGAAGCGGCAACAGCUCAAAUUUGAAAUCUGGCGUCUUUGGCGUCCGAGUUGUAAUUUGCAGAGGGCGCUUUGGCAUUGGCAGCGGUCCAAGUUCCUUGGAACAGGACGUCACAGAGGGUGAGAAUCCCGUACGUGGUCGCUAGCCUUUACCGUGUAAAGCCCCUUCGACGAGUCGAGUUGUUUGGGAAUGCAGCUCUAAAUGGGAGGUAAAUUUCUUCUAAAGCUAAAUACUGGCCAGAGACCGAUAGCGCACAAGUAGAGUGAUCGAAAGAUGAAAAGCACUUUGGAAAGAGAGUUAAAAAGCACGUGAAAUUGUUGAAAGGGAAGCGCUUGCAGCCAGACUUGCCUGUAGUUGCUCAUCUGGGUUUUUACCCAGUGCACUCUUCUAUAGGCAGGCCAGCAUCAGUUUGGGCGGUUGGAUAAAGGUCUCUGUCAUGUACCUCUCUUCGGGGAGAACUUAUAGGGGAGACGACAUGCAACCAGCCUGGACUGAGGUCCGCGCAUCUGCUAGGAUGCUGGCGUAAUGGCUGUAAGCGGCCCGUCUUGAAACACGGACCAAGGAGUCUAACAUCUAUGCGAGUGUUUGGGUGUCAAGCCCGAGCGCGUAAUGAAAGUGAACGGAGGUGGGAACCUUUCGGGGUGCACCAUCGACCGAUCCUGAUGUCUUCGGAUGGAUUUGAGUAAGAGCAUAGCUGUUGGGACCCGAAAGAUGGUGAACUAUGCUUGAAUAGGGUGAAGCCAGAGGAAACUCUGGUGGAGGCUCGCAGCGGUUCUGACGUGCAAAUCGAUCGUCAAAUUUGGGCAUAGGGGCGAAAGACUAAUC
rnacentral:rRNA from 1 species